rnacentral:rRNA from 1 species
UACGUAGGGUGCGAGCGUUGUCCGGAAUUAUUGGGCGUAAAGAGCUCGUAGGCGGUUUGUCGCGUCUGCUGUGAAAACCUAAGGCUCAACCUUGGGCUUGCAGUGGGUACGGGGCAGACUAGAGUGCGGUAGGGGGUGACUGGAAUUCCUGGUGUAGCGGUGGAAUGCGCAGAUAUCAGGAGGAACACCGAUGGCGAAGGCAGGUCACUGGGCCGCAACUGACGCUGAGGAGCGAAAGCGUGGGGAGCAAACAGG